GACGAACGCUGGCGGCGUGCUUAACACAUGCCAGUCGAACGAUGAAGCGGGUGCUUGCACUCGUGGAUUAGUGGCGAACGGGCGAGUAACACGUGAGUAACCUGUCCUUUUCUUUGGGAUAACGGCUGGAAACGGCUGCUAAUACUGGAUAUUCAGGCUGCAUCGCAUGGUGUGGUUUGGAAAGGUUUUUUCUGGGAUUGGGUGGGCUCGCGGCCUAUCAGCUUGUUGGUGGGGUGAUGGCUUACCAAGGCUUUGACGGGUAGCCGGCCUGAGAGGGUGGUCGGUCGCACUGGGACUGAGAUACGGCCCAGACUCCUACGGGAGGCAGCAGUGGGGAAUAUUGCACAAUGGACGAAAGUUUGAUGCAGCGACGCCGCGUGGAGGGUGUAGGCCUUCGGGUUGUGAACUCCUUUUUCUCGCGAAAAAGGCACAGUUUUGGCUGUGUUGAUGGUAGUGGGGGAAGAAGCGCCGGCUAACUACGUG
rnacentral:rRNA from 1 species